GCCCGGGUGGCGGAACUGGUAGACGCAGCAGACUUAAAAUCUGCCGGCCCCGUGGCCAUGCCGGUUCGAUUCCGGCCCCGGGCACCA
rnacentral:tRNA from 1 species